rnacentral:rRNA from 1 species
UACGUAGGUGGCAAGCGUUGUCCGGAUUUACUGGGCGUAAAGAGCGCGCAGGCGGUCGUUCAAGUCGCGUGUGAAAGCCCCCGGCUCAACUGGGGAGGGUCACGCGAUACUGAUCGACUCGAAGGCAGGAGAGGGUAGUGGAAUUCCUGGUGUAGCGGUGAAAUGCGCAGAUAUCAGGAGGAACACCCGUGGCGAAAGCGGCUCUCUGGGACGGUACUGACGCUGAGACGCGAAAGCGUGGGGAGCAAACAGG